CUGGUAAAUCUAGACUUUUGUCAAUUUUAUUGAACCUUCAUAAAAAGCCACUUUUUUGUUUGAUUGAUUUUGUUUUAGUCCAUUUUAUGUUCCUUGUAAACAUAUAAUGUAUCUAAUGAACACAUAUUUUUCCUCUCAUAUGGGGACAUAAUAAAUAAUUCUGAAGAAAGUGUCAAAAGCUUCUGCUUCUAGUGUCAAAAAUUUUAAGAGUCUUUCAGAAUUGCUAAGAAAGCAAAAAUUGAAUAUGCCAUCCUUAACUGCCUACCUAGAAUGACUCAGAGUACUGCCUAUCAAAUCAUGCCUAGUUGGUGCUCUAUGUCUACAUGGACUCUGGAAUAAUCUUAUACAAUUAGAUCUUCUGAAGGAAUUUCCUUUAGUUUUGUAAAAUUCUGUUCUUUAGUGUCCCUUUCAUCUAAUACAGUCCAUUGCUCAAACAGACAUAAAUAGUUGCUUUCAUGGAGGAUGUAUUAGUUAAGGUUCUCCAGAGACACAGAACAAAUAGGACACACACACACACACACACACACACACACACGGAAUUGGCUUACACAAUUAUGGAGGCUGGAAAGUCAAAAAUCUGUGGAACCAAUGUCCUCAUUCAAAGAUAAUCAAGCAGGAGAAUUCUCUCUUACUUAGGGGACAGUUAUUUUAUUGUUCUAUUCAGGCCUUCAACUGACUGGAUGAGGCUCACCACACUGGGGAGAGUGAUCUGGUUUACUCAGUCUAGUAUUUAAAUGUUAGUCUCAUUCAGAAGCAUCCUCCUAGAAACACCAGAAUGUAAACCAAAUAUCUGUGGCCCAGCAAAUUUAAUACAUAAAAUUAACUAUCACAGGGUCAAAGAUAUAAGUGAAAAUAAAAUUCUGCUCUUAAUUAGCUUAUGUCUUUAAUGCAACAAAUUACAGACAUUUACCUCUGUAUUCUCCAUGUAUAGUAUUAUAUCAGCAAAAUACAUCUGGUUAAUUAUUGGUGGAUAAGCCAUAAUACAAUCUGAAGGGGUUGUACUCUAACACAGCAGAAUGGUUAAAAAGCUGGGAUUUGAAGGAAAAUCUAACCAAAAUUCAAUUGUGUUACUGUGACCUAAUGUGUAACCUCGCUGACUCAUCUGUAGACCCCUUCCAUUAUACCUAUCUUGCAAGGACGCUAGAAGUGUUUUAUAAGUGCUUGGUAUAAUGCUUCUCAUAUUGUGGGCUACUUGAAAAUAACAGGAAGAAUUUCUUUAGUAGUUUUACGCAUUCAUCUAAGCCUCUCAACAAGCCAUUCUCCAAAACACAGGCACAGUAGUUUUUCUAAGACACACAUCAGAUCAGACCACUCUGAUCCCAUCCAAUGACUUCCAUCAGAAUAAACUCAAACACCUUGGCCUGGGUUGUAAAAUGCAGUGUUAUCUGAUCUUGGACUAAUUCUCCAGACUUAUACGGCUUUACUCCUGUGCCCACUAUAUUCUAGCCAUCCUGGCCUUCUUCCUAUUUCUUGAAAAACUCAAGUUUUUCCACCAAGAGCCUUUGAAGUAGUUGUCUCAGCUUGGCAUAUUCUUCCCGUUUCUGGGUGGCUGCCUCUUUUUUGUCACUCAGAUCUCAUCUCUAAAUGCCAUCUCCUCAAAAGGACUUCUUUCAUCAUGAUUCAAAAACAGCAUGUAUCACUGCCAGAUGUUCUUCCCUAAUUUUUCAGUCCAGCUCACUACAGCGUUCUCCAGUCAUUAAAGCUGUGUUUGGCCCAGAGAAGGCAUUCAAUAAAUAUUUUUGAAUAAAGGAAUGAGCUAUUUCAGAUCACCUGAAACUCCACCUCACUGUCAUGCUUACCUCCUCCAGCUCCAUUAAUGUUCAUAUUUACAUGAUCACAAAGUUCUGUUGAUUCAAAUUGCUAAAUAAAAGUAAGUUUACUUUAAUUUUAAAAUCUCUAGUUCUUAAGAAUAACUUGUAGAACUAUUGAGUCCAAUUAUCUUAAGAGAAUGCAACUAAAUUGGCCUGUAUUAUAGUUUCAAAUUACUGGUUUAACUACCUCUAGCCGUUUGGUUGAAUUAUAAUGUUUUCUUUUCUAUAGUUUUUUUCUUUGUUCUGAUAAAUGGCUGCACACAUGUAUAUCUCUUAACUUAGACACUUAGCUUCAGACACUGUAAUCAAUCAAUUGCCAUAAACAGUUCCCUAAAAGUUUCUUUUUCUUGCUUCAGUGGGUAUUUAAGUUUCCUAAUGGAAAUUACCGGGUUAAAAAGCUAGCAAGUAUCUUAGUAAUUUCAGAAGGUUAUAUGAAUAACAAUUUCAUAUUUUAAAAUGUAGAAUAAAGAUAAAGACAAGAUAGUUAACCAAAAAGUUACUUUUUGUGGUGUAAAACUUGGAACUUAAAUUGGAAAUGGAGAAUAGCUUUUGAGCCAGCAUUCGUAUUUUUCUUGCCCCCAGGAGAAAAGAGCUCAGUCCUAUUUUAAAUUAAUUCUGUGAUACAAUUUCCCAUGAGGAUUUUUCAAGUUUGACUUUUUCUAAAACUUCUUCUUUGCUCUGGUGGUUAUAUUUUCCUAAUCAUGAUGAGAAAUAAAAAUAUAUUUCCACUAGGUCUUUAAUCCAUUAGCUCAGGUCUUUAACUGAGAGAGACUUUCCAUGUGAACCAAAAAUACUACGUCUGGUCACUGAGUGAUGAUAGAAUGCUAAGAAAAAUUCUUAUGAUAAUUACUUCUAAUCAAAGCAACCAGUACUGGAGGUAAAUUAGAAAAUUAUAAUCAUUGGUUUUAUGUCAAAGUUCUUAAUCUCUAGCAGGAUAAUCCUGUAUCCUGUAAUUUAAAAUUUAGGAGGUAGUGGUUAUCAGAAUAACUUUUCAACAUUUGAGUAUUUACAGAGUGUAGAGAUAAUAAACUUGUUUCUAAGCCAGAAUUACGUGAUACAACCAUUUAUUUUCUGUCUGCAAAUUGCAGCCAUAUAAUCCUUUCCAAACCCAAUAUACAUGGAUCCAUUUAACACCUUUUUUCCUCUCUAUAAAACACAUUGUUUUCCUCCAGUCUCCAUAAAAGAAUGUUUCGAAAAGCAUAAAGAAAAUUAAAAUCACCUAUAAUUCCACCACACAGAGAUGAAGGUGAUAUGUCUUGGUGUAUUUUAUGUCAUUGUCUUUCUAUGUUUAACUCAUAAUUUUGCUGCCUCUUAGCAGUUACUCUACCUUACCACCAAAGUGUGCAGGGGACACCUGUUUAACUCCCUGGAAUGUCCCUAGAAUGAUUCCACCAACAAUAUUAUUGAGCAAAGUAUAUUUUUAUUAUUUUAAAAAGGGAGAGAAAGUCAAGUUUUUACAUCACUGAGCCCAUGCCAUUUGACCAUAUACGUUUUAUUUUUAACAUUUAACAUUUCUUUUUUCCUAAGUUUAUCUGGGGAAAUGGAUCCAGAAGAUUUCAAAGGUCAGAGAUCUUAAUGAUACAACCUCAUACUGAUAAGAACAGCAAUCCUGGUUCUUCCCUUUAUAGAUUAGAAAUUCUUCACCAAUAUAGGUAUAUUCUGCAGAAGAUGAGUUAGUUGAGAUAUCAAUUUAUAUUGUAAAUUGUAUUGUAAAAUUGUAUUGUAAAAUUAUAUUGUAAAGUGUUGGGAAGCACUUAAACACUUGUUUUGUAUUUUGUAUCAGUGAAGUUUCCAGAACUUUUAACCAAUGAUUGUGCAUUGUGGAUUUAGAAGAGGGACAUAUACUACACAGAAUGUGGCAAAAUAAUUCCUUCAUAUAUAAUUUACUAAGCAGAAACUUUAUUCAAAUAUUCUGUAAGGCUAGUGUUUCAUGAAAAUAGCUUUGGGGAGCCCUGGCCUCAAAGAUUUUUCUCUUUAAAAUAUAUUCUAUAAAAUGUGUUACUUUAUCUUGAUGCAAUAGUUUUGCAUAUUAAUAGAUACAGGGGAGUAAUGAUAAUUGCAGCACUUACUGAUAACAGACAUAGUAAACAAUCUAAAUAACUAACAAUAAAGAAUCUGUAAAAGUAAUUAUAUGUCCAUGAAAUGCAAUACUAUGCUGUCAUUAAAAUUUAAGAUCUAAAAAAAGUAUCUUAUAACUUCAUGUGCAUGUUAAGAUCUCAUAAUUCAAACAUAAAACAUACAUUUAUUAAUAUUACAAAUAUUUUUGAGCAUAUAAUAUGUGUUAAGUGUUGUUUAAUUUACUGUUGAAGAAGACAAUUGGGACACUGCGAUAGUUAAUUUUAUGUGUCAAACGGACAGGGCCACGAGGUAUCCAGAUAUUUUGUUAAACACUAUUUUGGGGUGUGUCUGUAAGAGUGUUUCUGGAUGAGAAUUGGGUUUAAAUCAGCAGACUGAGUAAAGUAGAUUGCCCUCCCCAAUGUAAGUGGCCAAUAUCCAAACCUUUCAUGGUUUGAAGAAAACAAGAAAGUGGUCUCUGGCUAACCACUUGAGCUGAUACAGGGGCCUUCUCCUGCACUCAGACGGGGACUUUAACAUUAGCUCUCCAAGUUCUCAGUCCCUCAGAUAUGGACUAAAACUAUACCACCAGCUUUUCUGUGUUUUCAAGUUGCACAUGGCAGAUCAUGGGGCUUCUCAGGCUGUGUAACUACAUAAGCCUUAUUAUACGGGUGUGUGUGUGUGUGUGUGUGUGUACUAUAGGUUGUAUUAUCUGGAGAAUUCUGACCAAUUCAGGAACUUUGUAGUCAGAAACAAAGUGAAGAAUACAUACCAAGAUGAAGAUUCAGUGAAGAAUACAUACCAAGAUGUUUACAGUGGAUAACUAUGGAUGCAGGUGCAGGAACUUCAGGAUAUCUUGGGAACCUCGUGAAGAGGAAUUCACCGAAAUCUACAGAGUUAUUUAUUGAGGAUUACUUUCUUCUGUUAUAUUCAGACUCAUUUAUGGAAACUUCCCUGAUUUUAAGACUAAGCAAAGAGAUUGAAGGUUUUAGUAAAAGGAAAGACUAUAUCCUGUGUCCUCUUCAACUUCCGUUUUGCUGCAAAUGGGCUUCUAUUUAAGAGCAUAGAUGUCAUGAAUGUGUAAAUUAAUGGGUUCUAUGAAGGUUAAGAAUGAAGUCAUAAGUGAGUUACCCAAGCCCAAAACUAUUCUGGAACACAAUAUUCUUUUGUUUAUUUUUCCUGUGGAAAUAAAUAUAUUAUUGACCAUAUAUUCAUUGCAAUUAAUUUAAAAGACUGAUAUCAAAGUUUCUAGGAAUUAAAAUGUGUGGAAGAAUUUGGUGAUAACAAUAAAAAAUAGUUUCGAAUUUAACUCAAGAAAAUUUAUGUAAAGAAAGAUGCAACUUGCUGGGUAGAUAUACAUUUUAAUCUCACUGAGAGCAUAUUUAAAGUAGAAUCUUUUUUACAUGUUGAAUAGAAUAAACAUAUAUCACUAAUCAGAUAUAAUAAAAGAUCCAGAAGCAGAGGAUAAGAGAAUAUUUUAGAAGAAAAUAGUACAAAAGUUCCAAAUAUAAUAGUUUAAAAAUUAGUUCAGAAUUAGUUUGAGGUGGACUGUAUCCUUGCUAUCUUCCUUCAUUCAAAUGAAAUGAGCUUGUACAAACUACACAUGUCCCAGGCAGUAAUCACAGGAGCAGCAAGAGAAUGAAUGAUUGUGGUGAGGACAUGUUUUCUGUGUAUGUUUUUGUUUAUUUUUUAAGUUUAUUUGAGAUAAAGAGAGGGAGAGAAUGCGAGUAGUGGAGGGGCAGAGAGAGAGAAAGAGAGAGAGAAAAUCACAAGCGGGUUCCUCACCUUCAGGGCGGAGCCCAACAUGGGGCUCAAACCCACAAACAACCAAGAUCUUGACCUGAGCUGAAAUGAAGAGCCUGAUGGUCAAGCAGUUGAGCUACCCAGCAAACACCUCAGUAAUUUUAGUUAGCGUACCAUUUUAUACCUAUAAAAUCUUCAUACUAAUGUGUAUCAUUAAGGUUAACAUUGAUCUAUCAAAAUACUAGGUUUAAACAUUUAUCUUAUGAAAAUGCAUAUAACAUAUUAUCCCAGUUACUAUAAAUUGGCAGGAAAAUAAAUUAUCCAUUUUACAAUCAGAAAAUAAUAUCAUUAGAAUAAAUUAAAAUUUUAUUUCUUAAAUUGUGGCACAGAAAUAUUCAAAGCCAAGUUGGAGAAAUUUCACAAGAUACUGUCUCUCUUCCUGGAGGAUAUCUGUGGACAGAGCUACACAAAAGUUAAACAAUAAGACCUCACUUUAUGUUUGUCACACAACAUUGUAUGUGUUUUUUGUUUGUUUGUUUGUUUGUUUGUUUCUUUCUUUCUUUCUUUCUUUCUUUCCUUCACAGAUACUAUGCUAUAAAUAGUGGAUAGUUUACUACGAUCACCCCUAGAGACCUAACCUGAAGAAACUAAUAGAUGCUUUUACCCUUAUACAAAUACAGAAUUAAUUUGGAUUAUUUUCAAAAUAUAAGAAACUAAAUCCCAUUAUUAACUGUAACCUCUUUAGUUUUUAGAUAUUUCUCCGGUUAGUUACCCAGAAAGAAAACAAAUUUGACUACAGCUAGCAUAGAAAGCUGAAUAUUAUCAUUGUUUCUAUUAUGAUAUUUGUUUUUAUAUGAAAAUAAAAGUACUUCUUCAUCAUUUUUAAUU